rnacentral:lncRNA from 1 species
GACAAUACUGGUGGGUUCUGUUAGAGGUGCUUUCUUGAUACUAGAGAACCUGGAGACAGUGGCUUCAGAGACCAUUUUAAUUUCCUCCAUAAAAUGUCAUGGUUCCUAAAACCUAAAGCAUAAGUUAGUAUAUCAUUGAGGUGGGACAAGUUCCUGUGUUAUCAGCAUGAAAAGCAAUGGCAGGAUGAUAGCAUCUGCAGGAGAGGAGGGUGCAUCUGAGAAUGUCUAGUCCUCCCUCCCUUGUCCUCUCAUGCCCCUCAUAGUAUACAUGAUGAGAGCCAUGGGUGCUAUGGGACCCAGGACAAGCUCCCACCCCUCUCCCUCUACACUUGCACAGGACCUUCACAACUAUUCGUCUCAGGUAGGUCGAGCCAGGGUGAGCCUGAAAAAGCACUAACACUGCCAUCUUCUUCUUUUCCUGGGCGUGAAAAAAAAAAAAACCAACAACCAUGUGCAGUUAAAGGAAAUGUGCCGCCGUGAACUUGACAAGGCAGAAUCAGAGAUUAAAAAAAACAGCUCUAUCAUUGGUGACUAUAAGCAGGUAAGUUUCCAUUUCAGGGGCUGGGCUGGGCACAUAGUGGGUAGUGUGUGCACUCUGGCUUCAAGCCCCUGUUCUUACCUUAGUCUCACAAUAAGGAGGCUUAAGUUCUAACUAGACAUGCAUGCAGAGUGCCCAGCAUAUAAGAGGUAUACAAAAGCCAGCAUUAUUUAAGAUGUCAGGUGAUGGAGUGUGU